GUCCUUCGGGACAUUUGGUCAAUUUGAAACGAUACAGAGAAGGUUCGUGUCUCGCGCGAGAAUUGUGUUUCUGGCAUAUAACUAACUUCCAACAGAUUAGCAUGGCCCCUGCACUAAGGAUGACACGCUUUUCAAAGAGUGCUACAAGUUUUUU
rnacentral:snRNA from 1 species